ensembl:lncRNA
CCCAAAUGUGAUUGUAGUUAAUACUGUGAUUUUCUGGUAACGUGGUGGCCGUGUGUUUGAUCUCACAGCCUGCCCCUGUGGCCUCUUCACUCCCAUCCAGGUCGAUGCCAACCUAGCUGCCUCUCACCACUUCACUUGUCUUCAUGGGGGAACUUCUGGGCCCCGACCUGCAGCCCACCAGCCAUGGAGACCCAGGCCAUGUCCUCCGGUGAUCCAUCUCCUCGCAUCCCAUGCCUCCUGGGCACCACUGUUCCUGCUUCAUGUUGCAGAUGGCAGACUGCCCUGGAAGGUCCCAGCAGCAUGUGCUCAGCUGAUGGUUUGGGCUCCCCAUACCUAACCCAGUGCCUCUAAAGCCCCUGAGGCCCGCUUUGAGAGAUGCGGGACUUAGGGGGUGGGGAUCAUACUCCUUGUCCCCAAAUUUCUCCCUCUCUCUAUCUUCCUUCUUCUCUCCAUUCAUCAGGCGAAUGGGCGAGACCUCUUUCAGGUAGAACUCCCGGACAAGGUUUGCCAGACUUGCCUUCUGAAAUGCUAAAGAAAGGUAGAAAGAGGGAUUGAGGAAAACCCUUUCUCUCCUAACAAAGCCUUUCUGUAGCUUUGCUAAUCCUAUUGUAGAUGCUCACGUUGAACCUGUACCUUUCUCUUGGUGUUUACUUUCACAUCCUAGUAUUCCACCCACAACACUCCUCCACUCAAUAGGAAGAAGGUCAUUUACGGAGAAGUGCAUAAAACAAAAGCACGUAACAUAUAACAUGAUUGAACAUGAUCACUUUCCCCUGCUGUGGUCAUGUGCAUCCUACACGGAGUUGCCUCUGCUGGAGGUAGCUCCAGGGCGGGAAGGGCUCCAUUCCUUUUCACGGCGCCAGGCCUCUCCCUUUCCCUGAUUGUUUGGCUGAAGAGAGUCUGGAAAAUCUCCAGAAAAUUAAAACUAAUCUGAAACAGGCUGUAAGUGGCAUGGGAGAAGCGGCAGGUGUGGACACGGGCAACCUUGCCGUGAGAUGGAGGUCUCUGAGUGUGGAAAGCGAGUGAUCUGCAGACGGACAGUGCCCACGGGGCACUCGGCCUUCGAGGGCAGCGUGGGAACAUGCGAAGAACAGGACCCCAGCCUCCAGUUGCAACCAGAAUCCCCCUGUGGCUCCCAAUAUCCCUGGCCUCUCGAUGCUACAACAGUGGCUGUGUUUUUCUGCAGUUCAGUAUACCUAGAAUUGUGCAGGAAAAUUCCUCAAGCGCCCUUGAGGAAUAAGAGUUUUGAGAGCUGGAACUGUGUCCCCACCAACUGGUGCAGUGUCUGCCACAUAACAAAUUCAAUGGCUGCUUGUUGAAUUGAUGUAUGAGGUACAAAGACUGUUCGUUAAUAUUAGUAUGCAUUCUCUGUAGACACCAAACAUGAAGCCCAAAGACGUUGAAUUGACCGUAUGUUU